rnacentral:misc_RNA from 1 species
CGCGUUCCGUUUCGAAUCCUUAUACUGGGGUUGCGGCAGUGGUGGCUGUCUUUUCUCUCGAAAGAGGAGAAGGUGGUUGUUGUUGGCCGUGACUCCAUGUUAUCUAUUGGUUGCUCGCCUUAGUAGCCAUACCACUUACGGAGGGGUGCCUAGCCUGUCGUAAACCCGUCAGGUGUGCUCGCUGUUUGGUCAUAUGCAUGCUCUUGCAUUGAGUACGAUUGUGUUUAAAAGAGCGUUGCGUGUGUUCAAGGGCCAGUCCAUGCCGGGGCGACAGUGCAGUACACAGCAAUGUGUGCAAGGUAUAAGAAUGUUGGCGUGUGAACUCCUCUACAAGGUUUACUCGCUACGCCCCUCCAUGAUUAUUGUUUUUCACUGUGUUGCAGGGGGUUUGCGCUUUACUGUGUUUACCCCUUAGACAAUUGUUUCGUGCUUCCUCGCGAGGGGAUGUGUGAGACAUAGUUCACGCCUUGUUGGUUGGAAACAGCCCAAGUUCGUGUGAGCUUAAUAAGAUUGGCGUUGCUCUCAGGAACAGCGUUGGUCGCUUGU